UGGCGAACGGGUGAGUAACGCGUGAGUAACCUGCCCUAGAGUGGGGGGACAACAGUUGGAAACGACUGCUAAUACCGCAUAAGCCCACGGUACCGCAUGGCACUGAGGGAAAAGGAUUUAUUCGCUUUAGGAUGGACUCGCGUCCAAUUAGCUAGUUGGUGAGGUAACGGCCCACCAAGGCGACGAUUGGUAGCCGGACUGAGAGGUUGAACGGCCACAUCGGGACUGAGACACGGCCCAG
rnacentral:rRNA from 1 species